CCCGCACAAGCGGUGGAGCAUGUGGUUUAAUUCGAAGCAACGCGAAGAACCUUACCAGGUCUUGACAUCCCGAUGCUAUUCUAGAGAUAGAAAGUUACUUCGGUACAUCGGUGACAGGUGGUGCAUGGUUGUCGUCAGCUCGUGUCGUGAGAUGUUGGGUUAAGUCCCGCAACGAGCGCAACCCUUGCCAUUAGUUGCUACGAAAGGGCACUCUAAUGGGACUGCCGGUGACAAACCGGAGGAAGGUGGGGAUGACGUCAAGUCCUCAUGGCCCUUAUAGGUGGGGCUACACACGUCAUACAAUGGCCGGUACAGAGGGUAGCCAACCCGCGAGGGGGAGCCAAUCCCACAAAGCCGGUCGUAGUCCGGAUCGCAGUCUGCAACUCGACUGCGUGAAGUCGGAAUCGCUAGUAAUCGUGGAUCAGCAUGUCACGGUGAAUACGUUCCCGGGUCUU
rnacentral:rRNA from 2 species